GAUGAACGCUGGCGGCGUGCCUAAUACAUGCAAGUCGAGCGAACGGACGAGAAGCUUGCUUCUCUGAUGUUAGCGGCGGACGGGUGAGUAACACGUGGAUAACCUACCUAUAAGACUGGGAUAAGUUCGGGAAACCGGAGCUAAUACCGGAUAAUAUUUUGAACCGCAUGGUUCAAAAGUGAAAGACGGUCUUGCUGUCACUUAUAGAUGGAUCCGCGCUGCAUUAGCUAGUUGGUAAGGUAACGGCUUACCAAGGCAACGAUGCAUAGCCGACCUGAGAGGGUGAUCGGCCACACUGGAACUGAGACACGGUCCAGACUCCUACGGGAGGCAGCAGUAGGGAAUCUUCCGCAAUGGGCGAAAGCCUGACGGAGCAACGCCGCGUGAGUGAUGAAGGUCUUCGGAUCGUAAAACUCUGUUAUUAGGGAAGAACAUAUGUGUAAGUAACUGUGCACAUCUUGACGGUACCUAAUCAGAAAGCCACGGCUAACUACGUG
rnacentral:rRNA from 1 species